GGAGAAGUGGCCGAGUGGUCGAAGGCGCACGCCUGGAAAGUGUGUAUACGGCAACGUAUCGAGGGUUCGAAUCCCUCCUUCUCCG
rnacentral:tRNA from 1 species